GCUGUGCUUUAUUUUCCCCCAGUACUGGGGAUUGAACCCUGGACCUUUGCAGUGAACUAUAUCCUAAACCCUUUUUAAAUUUUUUAUUUUAAAAUGGGGUCUUGAGAAGUCAUUAACUUCCCAGGCUAGGAUCUAACCUGCAAUCCUCCUGCCUCAACCUCCCUAAGUGUUGGAUUACAGGUGUACACCUCCACGCUUGUCUAGAAUUUGCUAUCUUUACCCAUAUUUCUUUUCUAAAAAUUCUAGCUACUUUAGUUUCUAUUACUUUUGCCUAGUUCUUUCCUUUCUUUUAUUUUUGUGAAUACAGAUUACAUGAAAUACAUGUUAUUUUAAAAAACAUAUGCAUAAUGAAAUUAAAAAUGACAUUUGCCACCCAACGCGUGAAGUUACUCUAUGUUCUUUUACCACAAAUAUACACACAAAAAUAUAGAAGUAAUAUAUUGCUGAGUUUUGCUUAUUUUUAAAUUCUAUGUUUUAAAAUAUGUACAUAAUAUAGUCCUCAAGGUAAUGAAAGGUGUUGAGACUAUGGGAACUUUAGGGGGUGGGGCGUGAGGCGCUGCGAUCAGGGUGCCAGCCUCAGAAGGGAUCGACUCCGCCCUAGGGGAGUGGGUUCAGUCUCAAGAGACUGGAUUGGUUACCACGCCAGUGAGUCGUAAGACAGCAAGUUCACAUUUACUUUCCUGUUCCACACAUGCUCCUGCCAAGUCAUGAUACCAGAUGUGGUCACCCGGUCUAGCUUCCAGAACUGUGAACUGAAAGAAGUAUCUUCUCCUUACCAACCAUCUCAAGUAUUUUGUGAGAGCAGCAGAAGUGGACUAAGGCAUCUGUGGUUCUCCAUUGUUUUUCAAUGCCAAUGCUUUGCAAGGGAACAGAUUUAA
rnacentral:lncRNA from 1 species